CCUGGCUACGCCCCUGGAGCACAUCCAUUGGAGUGGUCCUACUAGCUAGCACGGUGCACUGGACACAAUGGACCAACACUCUAACUCAGGGGAAAGCUUACUGCAUACUGCUACUGAAUCUCAACAAGCUGAAAUAGCUACAAACUCUCCUGCAAUUCUGUGCACUUUGACCCCUGUGUUUGCUAUCCCCCAGGUACAGGGACACCUCAACGAAUUGUGUAACUCUGAUGUCACUCAGUCCAGUGUCUAGUACCGUUUCAGCUCAGAUUGAGAACAUACUCCAUGACUCUGUGCACGACAUGCUACGUGGGUGAACUGCAACAAGUCACAAACGUGGGAGGAAGGGGAUCUUUUAGCCUCGAUCUCAGGCCGCACUGAAGAUGAGGUUGAUGAGGCCAUACCACUAUCUAUGAUGAGGCCUAGCAUAUGCCAUUACCUACUCAGCGUGAAUGUGAUCUGCUGCCAGCAUGUGCCAGUCCAGUGGCUGUGCUAUAGGAUAAGAAUGGAUGAAUGCAUGAAAGGAUGGAGGUGAGGGGAGAUGCUUUGUAGAGACGGCACCUGUUGUAGGCUACUAAUAAUAAUCACGAGGUUCAUUGUUUUGUUCAUAUUUCCCGAUAGUAUUGCUUGCCCAUGUGUUAGACCUUAUUGGUGGAGGGAGGUCAAUAUUGAGCAACCAUACGCUAGCUGAGUUGGCAUGGGCUCCGAGAUUUCAUUUGUCAUUGUAUUUUACACUACAGUAUGUUGUAAUUAUUUAUCCAUGCAUGUACGACAUGUGGCAGUACUAUUGACCUUUCACUAAUUAUGACCUUUCAAUGACAUUCUACCAAAUUGCUUUGUUUACUGUGAAAGGGGUGGAAUGUGACACCUCUCUGAAAAGGGGGAGGAUCUGAGCAAUGAUUAUGUUUACUGAAAAACAAGGCUGAAAGGGGCGAAAUUUCCUCUUUAUGUGUGGUCCCACUGUGUACACUGUAGCUAAGUGGUUGACUUAUGUUUUCUCUAGUAAGGUUUGCAUUUUGUGAAUGUGGUCUGUCUAGUCAGACCAACAGUGGCUGUAUUAUAGAGGGUGGCCUGCUAACACAGGUCCAAACACAUGCUAUGGAGACUUUGGGGAACAUUAACCUGGCUGUAUUAUAGAGGGUGGCCUGCUAACACAGGUCCAAACACAUGCUAUGGAGACUUUGGGACCCAUUAACCUGGCUGUAUUAUAGAUGGUGGCCUGCUAACACAGGUCCAAACACAUGCUAUGGAGACUUUGGGGCCCAUUAACCUGGCUGUAUUAUAGAGGGUGGCCUGCUAACACAGGUCCAAACACAUGCUAUGGAGACUUUGGGGCCCAUGAGGGUGGUCUGCUAACACAGGUCCAAACACGGCCCAUUAAUCUGGCUGUAUUAUAGAGGGUGACCACAAUAGAUAGACUCCACUCUAUACUGCUUAUUGAACCUCCCACCCCUCACACACACACCCUCACACACACACACACACACACC